rnacentral:rRNA from 1 species
CGGGGUAGAGUAACGCGUGGGUAACCUGCCAUAUACAGGGGGAGUAACAGCGAGAAAUUGCUGCUAAACCGCAUAAGCGCACGGAGUCGCAUGACUCAGUGUGAAAAACUCCGGUGGUAUAUGAUGGACCCGCGUCUGAUUAGCCAGUUGGCAGGGUAACGGCCUACCAAAGCGACGAUCAGUAGCCGGCCUGAGAGGGUGGACGGCCACAUUGGGACUGAGACACGGCCCAAACUCCUACGGGAGGCAGCAG